UUAAGCGACUAAGCGUACACGGUGGAUGCCCUGGCAGUCAGAGGCGAUGAAGGACGUGCUAAUCUGCGAAAAGCGUCGGUAAGGUGAUAUGAACCGUUAUAACCGGCGAUGUCCGAAUGGGGAAACCCAGUGCAAUUCGUUGCACUAUCGUUAACUGAAUACAUAGGUUAACGAGGCGAACCGGGGGAACUGAAACAUCUAAGUACCCCGAGGAAAAGAAAUCAACCGAGAUUCCCCCAGUAGCGGCGAGCGAACGGGGAGCAGCCCAGAGUCUGAAUCAGCUUGUGUGUUAGUGGAACGGUCUGGAAAGUCCGACGGUACAGGGUGAUAGUCCCGUACACCAAAAUGCACAGGUUGUGAACUCGAAGAGUAGGGCGGGACACGUGGUAUCCUGUCUGAAUAUGGGGGGACCAUCCUCCAAGGCUAAAUACUCCUGACUGACCGAUAGUGAACCAGUACCGUGAGGGAAAGGCGAAAAGAACCCCGGCGAGGGGAGUGAAAAAGAACCUGAAACCGUGUACGUACAAGCAGUGGGAGCACCUUCGGGUGUGACUGCGUACCUUUUGUAUAAUGGGUCAGCGACUUAUAUUCUGUAGCAAGGUUAACCGUAUAGGGGAGCCGCAGGGAAACCGAGUCUUAACUGGGCGUUAAGUUGCAGGGUAUAGACCCGAAACCCGGUGAUCUAGCCAUGGGCAGGUUGAAGGUUGGGUAACACUAACUGGAGGACCGAACCGACUAAUGUUGAAAAAUUAGCGGAUGACUUGUGGCUGGGGGUGAAAGGCCAAUCAAACCGGGAGAUAGCUGGUUCUCCCCGAAAGCUAUUUAGGUAGCGCCUCGUGAACUCAUCUUCGGGGGUAGAGCACUGUUUCGGCUAGGGGGUCAUCCCGACUUACCAACCCGAUGCAAACUACGAAUACCGAAGAAUGUUAUCACGGGAGACACACGGCGGGUGCUAACGUCCGUCGUGAAGAGGGAAACAACCCAGACCGCCAGCUAAGGUCCCAAAGUCAUGGUUAAGUGGGAAACGAUGUGGGAAGGCACAGACAGCCAGGAUGUUGGCUUAGAAGCAGCCAUCAUUUAAAGAAAGCGUAAUAGCUCACUGGUCGAGUCGGCCUGCGCGGAAGAUGUAACGGGGCUAAACCAUGCACCGAAGCUGCGGCAGCGACACUAUGUGUUGUUGGGUAGGGGAGCGUUCUGUAAGCCUGCGAAGGUGUGCUGUGAGGCAUGCUGGAGGUAUCAGAAGUGCGAAUGCUGACAUAAGUAACGAUAAAGCGGGUGAAAAGCCCGCUCGCCGGAAGACCAAGGGUUCCUGUCCAACGUUAAUCGGGGCAGGGUGAGUCGACCCCUAAGGCGAGGCCGAAAGGCGUAGUCGAUGGGAAACAGGUUAAUAUUCCUGUACUUGGUGUUACUGCGAAGGGGGGACGGAGAAGGCUAUGUUAGCCGGGCGACGGUUGUCCCGGUUUAAGCAUGUAGGCUGAUUAUCCAGGCAAAUCCGGAUAAUCAAGGCUGAGGUGUGAUGACGAGGCACUACGGUGCUGAAGUAACAAAUGCCCUGCUUCCAGGAAAAGCCUCUAAGCAUCAGGUAACAUUAAAUCGUACCCCAAACCGACACAGGUGGUCAGGUAGAGAAUACCAAGGCGCUUGAGAGAACUCGGGUGAAGGAACUAGGCAAAAUGGUGCCGUAACUUCGGGAGAAGGCACGCUGGUGUGUAGGUGAAGUCCCUGCGGAUGGAGCUGAGACCAGUCGAAGAUACCAGCUGGCUGCAACUGUUUAUUAAAAACACAGCACUGUGCAAACACGAAAGUGGACGUAUACGGUGUGACGCCUGCCCGGUGCCGGAAGGUUAAUUGAUGGGGUUAUCCGUAAGGAGAAGCUCUUGAUCGAAGCCCCGGUAAACGGCGGCCGUAACUAUAACGGUCCUAAGGUAGCGAAAUUCCUUGUCGGGUAAGUUCCGACCUGCACGAAUGGCGUAAUGAUGGCCAGGCUGUCUCCACCCGAGACUCAGUGAAAUUGAACUCGCUGUGAAGAUGCAGUGUACCCGCGGCAAGACGGAAAGACCCCGUGAACCUUUACUAUAGCUUGACACUGAACAUUGAGCCUUGAUGUGUAGGAUAGGUGGGAGGCUUUGAAGCGUGGACGCCAGUCUGCGUGGAGCCAACCUUGAAAUACCACCCUUUAAUGUUUGAUGUUCUAACGUUGGCCCCUUACCGGGGUUGCGGACAGUGUCUGGUGGGUAGUUUGACUGGGGCGGUCUCCUCCCAAAGCGUAACGGAGGAGCACGAAGGUUAGCUAAUCCUGGUCGGACAUCAGGAGGUUAGUGCAAUGGCAUAAGCUAGCUUGACUGCGAGCGUGACGGCGCGAGCAGGUGCGAAAGCAGGUCAUAGUGAUCCGGUGGUUCUGAAUGGAAGGGCCAUCGCUCAACGGAUAAAAGGUACUCCGGGGAUAACAGGCUGAUACCGCCCAAGAGUUCAUAUCGACGGCGGUGUUUGGCACCUCGAUGUCGGCUCAUCACAUCCUGGGGCUGAAGUAGGUCCCAAGGGUAUGGCUGUUCGCCAUUUAAAGUGGUACGCGAGCUGGGUUUAGAACGUCGUGAGACAGUUCGGUCCCUAUCUGCCGUGGGCGCUGGAGAAUUGAGGGGGGCUGCUCCUAGUACGAGAGGACCGGAGUGGACGCAUCACUGGUGUUCGGGUUGUCAUGCCAAUGGCACUGCCCGGUAGCUAAAUGCGGAAGAGAUAAGUGCUGAAAGCAUCUAAGCACGAAACUUGCCCCGAGAUGAGUUCUCCCUGAGACUUUAAGUCUCCUGAAGGAACGUUGAAGACGACGACGUUGAUAGGCCGGGUGUGUAAGCGCAGCGAUGCGUUGAGCUAACCGGUACUAAUGAACCGUGAGGCUUAACCUU
rnacentral:rRNA from 1 species